AUUGAACGCUGGCGGCAGGCCUAACACAUGCAAGUCGAGCGGAUGAAGGGAGCUUGCUCCUGGAUUCAGCGGCGGACGGGUAAGUAAUGCCUAGGAAUCUGCCUGGUAGUGGGGGAUAACGUCCGGAAACGGGCGCUAAUACCGCAUACGUCCUGAGGGAGAAAGUGGGGGAUCUUCGGACCUCACGCUAUCAGAUGAGCCUAGGUCGGAUUAGCUAGUUGGUGGGGUAAAGGCCUACCAAGGCGACGAUCCGUAACUGGUCUGAGAGGAUGAUCAGUCACACUGGAACUGAGACACGGUCCAGACUCCUACGGGAGGCAGCAGUGGGGAAUAUUGGACAAUGGGCGAAAGCCUGAUCCAGCCAUGCCGCGUGUGUGAAGAAGGUCUUCGGAUUGUAAAGCACUUUAAGUUGGGAGGAAGGGCAGUAAGUUAUUACCUUGCUGUUUUGACGUUACCAACAGAAUAAGCACCGGCUAACUUCGUG
rnacentral:rRNA from 1 species